AUGAAUGGCGGUAAUAGCAAUUCCAGUGAGCAAGAAAAUGUAUCUCAUUCACCAAAUUCGAAAUCACCGAGUGUUGAUAAACAACAACCAUUUACUAUUGAUAUUUUUGAUCCACGAAACUGGGAUAAUCUGGAUCAUAAGGCUAGAGAUAUUUUAGUUGAGAAGGGUCCCGUAAGAAAUGAUGAUAUUGUGUUCCCUUCAGAUAGUAACUCUAGACAUUUUCAAAAUCUUAUUAUUCGAGAAAGUUAA
rnacentral:rRNA from 1 species